GUGCCCAUGAUGUAACGGCAGCCUAUCGCCUUGCCAUGGCGAAAGUGCGGGUUCAACUCCCGCUGGGCACU
rnacentral:tRNA from 1 species